rnacentral:tRNA from 1 species
GGAUUGUGGCUCAGUGGUAGAGCGCUUACCUAACAUGUGCGGGGCCCUGUGUUCGAGCCUCAGCACCA